AUGUGGCCAGAUUGAAGCUUCGGCAGCUUUGCCACAGCUGCUGUGGUCAACAGAGAGCCCAGAGUGACAGUUUUCCUUGAGGUCCCUGGACUAUUUCUUGUAAGUAACCUGAGACACCUCAGGAAAAGACAGCA
ensembl:snoRNA